AACGAACGCUGGCGGCAUGCCUAACACAUGCAAGUCGGACGAGACCUUCGGGUCUAGUGGCGCACGGGUGCGUAACGCGUGGGAACCUGCCCUUAGGUUCGGAAUAACUCCCCGAAAGGGGUGCUAAUACCGGAUAAUGUCUUCGGACCAAAGAUUUAUCGCCUUUGGAUGGGCCCGCGUUGGAUUAGCUAGUUGGUAGGGUAAAAGCCUAUCAAGGCGACGAUCCAUAGCUGGUCUGAGAGGAUGAUCAGCCACACUGGGACUGAGACACGGCCCAGACUCCUACGGGAGGCAGCAGUGGGGAAUAUUGGACAAUGGGCGAAAGCCUGAUCCAGCAAUGCCGCGUGAGUGAUGAAGGCCUUAGGGUUGUAAAGCUCUUUUACCCGGGAUGAUAAUGACAGUACCGGGAGAAUAAGCUCCGGCUAACUCCGUG
rnacentral:rRNA from 1 species